UCAUCUAAUCAGAUAUUUGAUAUGUUGGUUGUUUAAGGAAAAAUAAUAUUUUUAUUUUCAUUAUUAUUGUUGUAAUUAUGUAUAGUGGUAUUUGCCUGCUUUGAGUAAAGUAACAAAACAAUAAUGCCAAGAUAUGAGACUUGUAUUAUAUCUAAGGGAAACAUUCUAUUGUAAGUUAAGUGGAUGCAUUAUAUUCAUUGCGUAUUAUAAAUCAUAAUCUUAAAUGCUAUAACCACAAAUAAGUAAACAUUAUAACACAUUAAAACUGUUGUUAUGAUUACUCAUGAGAUGAUAUGACAUAUUACAAAGUUUUUUUUCUAAUACAUUAUGCAUUCAUCAUAAUGCCAUAAGAAUUCUCUUAUAAUUUGUUUUAAAUACGGGCUUCAUAGGAAGUGUUACCGUUAAGUUUAAUCGAUAAUGUACUUCUUCACUGAUGUUAUACAAUAUCCUUAUACAAAUGGAAAAAAAAUGUUUACAGCAUCUAAUGCUUUUAUCUUGGAGUGAAACACAACUAAGAAGAUGAAUAAAAUCAAGUGAGCCACAGAGAUGGCAUCGUCCAAGAGCACAGGCAUUUCAUCCAGAGGCAGCGAGUGAACUUUGUGUCCUGAAACCAGAAUCAGUUGGGAAGAAUGGAACCAAGUCUACCCAAUUAAAAGGCUUACACAGGUCCCCUUCCAGAUGCUGAUGUCUUGGCUUCUGGUGCAAAACUACGUCAGAUUAAUCCCAAGCCUUUGCUGCCGCAAAUACUUGAGGGCAUGUCAAAAGUAGAGUUGUACCUCUUGGCAGUCCACUUUCAUUCCAGUGUCCCCGUAUAGCUGCAGGUGUUCCUGAUCUUAAUUUCCCCCCACUACCUGUGCUUGGUUUUCAGUUUGGCUGUAAUUUUAAAUUUGGCCAGACGGACGAGUGCAUGAUCCAUCUGAAACAUUCGUUUGGACUAGUGGAGGUAAAAAGCACCUCUGCUGAAAACAUUGCUCAGGUUCCAUUUAUGAAAAUUCAAAGAGGACUAGCCAAACUUAAAGAGACCCAUAAGUACUACUGGCAGGUACAAGGUCAGACUGCAGUGACUGGUCUACACUGGUGUGACUUUGUGACUGACACACAAUCAGAUUUCAUAAUACAGAUGAUCUGGCGAGAUGAUGCCUUCAUAACAUCAAUGAAAGUACUGUUAUAACGUUUAUCUGGAUGUGUAUCUUUCAGUGGUAUGAAUGGACAGAUUCUGUUCAUAUUAUAGUAUGAACCUAAGAUUUAUUUUUACAUUCAUAGUAAAUAUAUACUUUAUGUAGUUGAGUAGUAUGUAGCAUAUUUUGUAGUAGAUCUUUGAUAACAUAUUAGAUACAUCACAAAUUAUAACAAUAAAUAUAUUGUACUUGCUAUUAAUUAGAUAAAUGUACAUACCAAGGUGAAUACUUUUUGUAUGAAAUCUUCUGUAAUGUAUAUGAUAUGCAUAUUCUUUUACUACUUGCGUAUAUUUACAUUUGAUACAUUGUGUGAUAUAACAAAGAAGAUUUUUUUCAUGAGUUUUUAUAAAAAUACUUUUCAUUGUCAACUA